CUAACUAAAGUGACCAUAGCAAUAUUAAUAAAAACAGUUGGAGCAAACUGAAAGUCAAUUAAUAAAGUUUAAUUAAAGUGACCAUUGCAAUAUCCAGAAAACCAGUUUGGAUUAAAACUGAAUGUCUAGCAUACGGUGUCUAACUACAGUGACCAUAGCAAUAUUAAUAAAACAGUUUGGAACAAACUGAAAGUUAAGCAAUAAAUGAUUAACUAAUGACAAUUGCAAUAUCAGUAAAACAGUUUGGAGCAAAAUACUCUGACCGGUGCCUUGGCUGGUAAGCAGCAAAGAAAGAGGAAGUCAUGUGUCUGUCAGGGCUUUAUAUAUGGAUGUGAUGCCUGUUACUGAUUGG